rnacentral:rRNA from 1 species
GGACUACUCGGGUUUCUAAUCCUGUUCGCUCCCCACGCUUUCGCGCCUCAGUGUCAGUAAUGGGCCAGGAAGUCGCCUUCGCCACUGGUGUUCCUUCCGAUAUCUACGCAUUUCACCGCUACACCGGAAAUUCCACUUCCCUCUCCCACACUCUAGUUAAUUAGUUUCAAAUGCCAUUCCUAGGUUAAGCCCAGGUAUUUCACAUCUGACUUAAUAAACCACCUACGCGCCCUUUACGCCCAGUAAUUCCGAUUAACGCUUGCACCCUCUGUAUUACCGCGGCGGCUGGCAC